rnacentral:rRNA from 1 species
CGAUGUCGGCUCAUCACAUCCUGGGGCUGUAGUAGGUCCCAAGGGUUGGGCUGUUCGCCCAUUAAAGUGGUACGCGAGCUGGGUUCAGAACGUCGUGAGACAGUUCGGUCCCUAUCCGUCGCAGGCGGAGGAAAUUUGAGAAGACCUGUCCUUAGUACGAGAGGACCGGGAUGGACGUACCUCUGGUGUACCAGUUGUCCUGCCAAGGGCAUGGCUGGGUAGCUAUGUACGGAAUGGAUAAGCGCUGAAAGCAUC